rnacentral:lncRNA from 1 species
UGAAGGAGUGUUAUGAGCUCAUCAUUUUCCAUCCAAUUUCCAGAUAAUAUCAGGUCAGGAGAAAAAUGAAGGAAAGAAAAUAAAGAUAGGAUGCAGAACAAUGCUGAAAGAAGCAGUAAAGAGAAGGCAAGAAAGAGAAAGACCCUGAAAGCAUUGAAACCCUGGUUUCAGGCACCCAUGAGACAAUGAUUCCAGCAAAAUAGGCACUUUUGUGUAUUCCAUGUGUUGAUCAAGAAAUAAGAAGAUAUGCAAAUAAACAAGAGGAGGAAAGAGAGCUGGGGCAUGCCUACUGCUCUGAAUAUUCAAAAAACAGGGAUGAGGUGUAGUAAAAAGAAGCAAAGAGGAGAAAAGAUGGAAAUAGAGGCU